rnacentral:lncRNA from 1 species
GGGGCCGGGUUGACUCAACCUCCUUCUUCCUCAAGCCAGCCUAGCACCUCUGGCCCACACUGCCAUUACCAUAUAGCCACCAGCCUGGCCCCAGGCAUAGCCCAUCCGUUAGGAUUUCUAAGGUGCUCGUAUAUGUAGAUUUCAAAAUUUUUUUAAAAUCAAAAUGCAUCGAAAAUAAGAUUAAAACUCUUUUAACCAAUAACAUAC